CCCGGAACCCUUGGCCCCUUUUUAAGUUUUUUAACCAGCUCAGAUUGAACGCUGGCGGCAGGCCUAACACAUGCAAGUCGAGCGGCAGCGGAAAGUAGCUUGCUACUUUGCCGGCGAGCGGCGGACGGGUGAGUAAUGUCUGGGAAACUGCCUGAUGGAGGGGGAUAACUACUGGAAACGGUAGCUAAUACCGCAUAACGUCGCAAGACCAAAGAGGGGGACCUUCGGGCCUCUUGCCAUCAGAUGUGCCCAGAUGGGAUUAGCUAGUAGGUGGGGUAACGGCUCACCUAGGCGACGAUCCCUAGCUGGUCUGAGAGGAUGACCAGCCACACUGGAACUGAGACACGGUCCAGACUCCUACGGGAGGCAGCAGUGGGGAAUAUUGCACAAUGGGCGCAAGCCUGAUGCAGCCAUGCCGCGUGUAUGAAGAAGGCCUUCGGGUUGUAAAGUACUUUCAGCGGGGAGGAAGGUGUUGAGGUUAAUAACCUCAGCAAUUGACGUUACCCGCAGAAGAAGCACCGGCUAACUCCGUGCCAGCAGCCGCGGUAAUACGGAGGGUGCAAGCGUUAAUCGGAAUUACUGGGCGUAAAGCGCACGCAGGCGGUCUGUCAAGUCGGAUGUGAAAUCCCCGGGCUCAACCUGGGAACUGCAUUCGAAACUGGCAGGCUAGAGUCUUGUAGAGGGGGGUAGAAUUCCAGGUGUAGCGGUGAAAUGCGUAGAGAUCUGGAGGAAUACCGGUGGCGAAGGCGGCCCCCUGGACAAAGACUGACGCUCAGGUGGAAAGAACGCCC
rnacentral:rRNA from 1 species